rnacentral:rRNA from 1 species
GGUUAAGCGACUAAGCGUACACGGUGGAUGCCCUGGCAGUCAGAGGCGAUGAAGGACGUGCUAAUCUGCGAAAAGCGUCGGUAAGGUGAUAUGAACCGUUAUAACCGGCGAUGUCCGAAUGGGGAAACCCAGUGCAAUUCGUUGCACUAUCGUUAACUGAAUACAUAGGUUAACGAGGCGAACCGGGGGAACUGAAACAUCUAAGUACCCCGAGGAAAAGAAAUCAACCGAGAUUCCCCCAGUAGCGGCGAGCGAACGGGGAGCAGCCCAGAGUCUGAAUCAGCUUGUGUGUUAGUGGAACGGUCUGGAAAGUCCGACGGUACAGGGUGAUAGUCCCGUACACCAAAAUGCACAGGUUGUGAACUCGAAGAGUAGGGCGGGACACGUGGUAUCCUGUCUGAAUAUGGGGGACCAUCCUCCAAGGCUAAAUACUCCUGACUGACCGAUAGUGAACCAGUACCGUGAGGGAAAGGCGAAAAGAACCCCGGCGAGGGGAGUGAAAAAGAACCUGAAACCGUGUACGUACAAGCAGUGGGAGCACCUUCGGGUGUGACUGCGUACCUUUUGUAUAAUGGGUCAGCGACUUAUAUUCUGUAGCAAGGUUAACCGUAUAGGGGAGCCGCAGGGAAACCGAGUCUUAACUGGGCGUUAAGUUGCAGGGUAUAGACCCGAAACCCGGUGAUCUAGCCAUGGGCAGGUUGAAGGUUGGGUAACACUAACUGGAGGACCGAACCGACUAAUGUUGAAAAAUUAGCGGAUGACUUGUGGCUGGGGGUGAAAGGCCAAUCAAACCGGGAGAUAGCUGGUUCUCCCCGAAAGCUAUUUAGGUAGCGCCUCGUGAACUCAUCUUCGGGGGUAGAGCACUGUUUCGGCUAGGGGGUCAUCCCGACUUACCAACCCGAUGCAAACUACGAAUACCGAAGAAUGUUAUCACGGGAGACACACGGCGGGUGCUAACGUCCGUCGUGAAGAGGGAAACAACCCAGACCGCCAGCUAAGGUCCCAAAGUCAUGGUUAAGUGGGAAACGAUGUGGGAAGGCACAGACAGCCAGGAUGUUGGCUUAGAAGCAGCCAUCAUUUAAAGAAAGCGUAAUAGCUCACUGGUCGAGUCGGCCUGCGCGGAAGAUGUAACGGGGCUAAACCAUGCACCGAAGCUGCGGCAGCGACACUAUGUGUUGUUGGGUAGGGGAGCGUUCUGUAAGCCUGCGAAGGUGUGCUGUGAGGCAUGCUGGAGGUAUCAGAAGUGCGAAUGCUGACAUAAGUAACGAUAAAGCGGGUGAAAAGCCCGCUCGCCGGAAGACCAAGGGUUCCUGUCCAACGUUAAUCGGGGCAGGGUGAGUCGACCCCUAAGGCGAGGCCGAAAGGCGUAGUCGAUGGGAAACAGGUUAAUAUUCCUGUACUUGGUGUUACUGCGAAGGGGGGACGGAGAAGGCUAUGUUAGCCGGGCGACGGUUGUCCCGGUUUAAGCAUGUAGGCUGGUUGUCCAGGCAAAUCCGGAUAAUCAAGGCUGAGGUGUGAUGACGAGGCACUACGGUGCUGAAGUAACAAAUGCCCUGCUUCCAGGAAAAGCCUCUAAGCAUCAGGUAACAUUAAAUCGUACCCCAAACCGACACAGGUGGUCAGGUAGAGAAUACCAAGGCGCUUGAGAGAACUCGGGUGAAGGAACUAGGCAAAAUGGUGCCGUAACUUCGGGAGAAGGCACGCUGGUGUGUAGGUGAAGUCCCUGCGGAUGGAGCUGAGACCAGUCGAAGAUACCAGCUGGCUGCAACUGUUUAUUAAAAACACAGCACUGUGCAAACACGAAAGUGGACGUAUACGGUGUGACGCCUGCCCGGUGCCGGAAGGUUAAUUGAUGGGGUUAUCCGUAAGGAGAAGCUCUUGAUCGAAGCCCCGGUAAACGGCGGCCGUAACUAUAACGGUCCUAAGGUAGCGAAAUUCCUUGUCGGGUAAGUUCCGACCUGCACGAAUGGCGUAAUGAUGGCCAGGCUGUCUCCACCCGAGACUCAGUGAAAUUGAACUCGCUGUGAAGAUGCAGUGUACCCGCGGCAAGACGGAAAGACCCCGUGAACCUUUACUAUAGCUUGACACUGAACAUUGAGCCUUGAUGUGUAGGAUAGGUGGGAGGCUUUGAAGCGUGGACGCCAGUCUGCGUGGAGCCAACCUUGAAAUACCACCCUUUAAUGUUUGAUGUUCUAACGUUGGCCCCUGACCGGGGUUGCGGACAGUGUCUGGUGGGUAGUUUGACUGGGGCGGUCUCCUCCCAAAGCGUAACGGAGGAGCACGAAGGUUAGCUAAUCCUGGUCGGACAUCAGGAGGUUAGUGCAAUGGCAUAAGCUAGCUUGACUGCGAGCGUGACGGCGCGAGCAGGUGCGAAAGCAGGUCAUAGUGAUCCGGUGGUUCUGAAUGGAAGGGCCAUCGCUCAACGGAUAAAAGGUACUCCGGGGAUAACAGGCUGAUACCGCCCAAGAGUUCAUAUCGACGGCGGUGUUUGGCACCUCGAUGUCGGCUCAUCACAUCCUGGGGCUGAAGUAGGUCCCAAGGGUAUGGCUGUUCGCCAUUUAAAGUGGUACGCGAGCUGGGUUUAGAACGUCGUGAGACAGUUCGGUCCCUAUCUGCCGUGGGCGCUGGAGAAUUGAGGGGGGCUGCUCCUAGUACGAGAGGACCGGAGUGGACGCAUCACUGGUGUUCGGGUUGUCAUGCCAAUGGCACUGCCCGGUAGCUAAAUGCGGAAGAGAUAAGUGCUGAAAGCAUCUAAGCACGAAACUUGCCCCGAGAUGAGUUCUCCCUGAGACUUUAAGUCUCCUGAAGGAACGUUGAAGACGAUGACGUUGAUAGGCCGGGUGUGUAAGCGCAGCGAUGCGUUGAGCUAACCGGUACUAAUGAACCGUGAGGCUUAACCUU